rnacentral:pre_miRNA from 1 species
CAACUACUCCCUCUGUCCCAAAUUUCUUGUCUUAGAUUUAUCUAGAUACGAAUGUAUCUAAUACUAAAAUGUGACUUGAUACAUCCGUAUCUAGACAAAUCUAAGACAAGAAUUUUGGGACGGAGGGAGUACUUU